rnacentral:rRNA from 1 species
GACGAACGCUGGGGGCGUGCCUAAUACAUGCAAGUCGAACGCUUCUUUCCUCCCGAGUGCUUGCACUCAAUUGGAAAGAGGAGUGGCGGACGGGUGAGUAACACGUGGGUAACCUACCCAUCAGAGGGGGAUAACACUUGGAAACAGGUGCUAAUACCGCAUAACAGUUUAUGCCGCAUGGCAUAAGAGUGAAAGGCGCUUUCGGGUGUCGCUGAUGGAUGGACCCGCGGUGCAUUAGCUAGUUGGUGAGGUAACGGCUCACCAAGGCCACGAUGCAUAGCCGACCUGAGAGGGUGAUCGGCCACACUGGGACUGAGACACGGCCCAGACUCCUACGGGAGGCAGCAGUAGGGAAUCUUCGGCAAUGGACGAAAGUCUGACCGAGCAACGCCGCGUGAGUGAAGAAGGUUUUCGGAUCGUAAAACUCUGUUGUUAGAGAAGAACAAGGACGUUAGUAACUGAACGUCCCCUGACGGUAUCUAACCAGAAAGCCACGGCUAACUACGUG